rnacentral:rRNA from 1 species
AGGACAAACGCUGGCGGCGUGCCUAAGACAUGCAAGUCGGACGGGGGGCUUCGGCCUCGAGUGGCGGACGGGUGAGGAGCGCGUGGAGAACCUGCCCCGGGAUGGGGGAUACCAGCCAGAAAUGGCUGCUAAUACCGCAUACGAUUGCCGGCUGGUAAGGCUGGUAAGGAAAGCCGCAAGGCGUCCUGGGAGGGGUCCGCGUCGGAUUAGCUAGUUGGUGGGGUAACGGCCUACCAAGGCGACGAUCCGUAGCUGGUCUGAGAGGACGGCCAGCCACACUGGGACUGAGACACGGCCCAGACUCCUACGGGAGGCAGCAGUUAGGGAAUUUUGACAAUGGGCGCAAGCCUGAUCGAGUGACGCCGCGUGUGGGAUGACGCCUUUCGGGGUGUAAACCACUUUUCUUGGGGACGAGCAAGGACGGUACCCGAGGAAUAAGCCUCGGCUAACUACGUGCCAGCAGCCGC